ACAUUAGGUAAUUCCGUGAUUUUUAUUUAAGGAAACAAUGAAGAACAUUAUGAUUAAUUUAUUGUUAGUUUAAUAAAAAGCUUAUUAUAUAUGUAUAUAGACCAACAUAUUUUUCUAAGGAUUCUAAGAAUGAAUGUGGUGAUGACAUGUGGCUACAAAAAUAUGUUGUAAUGCUUCUCUUUUAAUAUAUAGGGGAUAAGAAGCUUACUUUAAGACUGAAGCAAGUAGUAUUUUGCUUAGUAUCUUAUACAUCAUCAAGCAGAGUUUGCUUUUCCAAUAACACCUUUCUGUACAUGUCCAAUUCAUAGUGAGUGUGAUUACAGUCUUUACAAGCUUAUUAACUAAACUGUUAUCCUUUGUUCAGUCAAAGGUUUGGGGAAAUAGCAUUUUUGUAAUCACUGCAGAUGAACAAGUAAAAGGUUACGGUACCAGAUUGAUGAACCACCUGAAACAACAUGCACGUGAUGUUGAUAGAUUGACGCACUUUCUUACUCAUGCACAACAAUGCUGUUGGUUAUUUAAAAAAAAAAAAUGGUAAACCAUUCCCCGGAGAGAGAAUGUGAAAUCCCCGGUGGCCACGCGCUGUGGAAAUCUGGUGUGGUGCGGAUUCGAACUCGGGUCCUUUGGGGAUCCACGGAACAAAUCUCUGGGGUGUAAUUCAUAUUCUCUGCAAUAGUUGGCUCUAUGCUUAAUCUGGAAAUAGACGUCAACCAACUGGUAGUACUAGUACAUAUCUUGGUCGGGGAAUGAACCAGUUUAUUGCAUUCAACGUAUUCUAUAUGUUAUCGUAGCUAUAAGGGAAUAAGUUAACUGAGUUGAACCUGGUCUAUGGGAGGGGAUGCCAUAUAUAUAUCCUUGUUGCACUUGUUAGAAAAUAACAAUAUGAUUAAUGUGGUUGUCAGUGGCCUUCAUUUGCUGUUACCAUGUUUCUAAAAAUUUAAGACCAGCAACAUAAAGGUGAGGUAGUCUUUGUAAAAUGAUGAGUCCUUGAAUGAAACGCAAGAACCUCUACGCAAUCGUUGUAUACUGUAUUUUUGUUUGAAUAAUCCUUUUCAUGAUGAUUUUGGGUUUAUGGUUCCAGAAUGUUAAAUGUAUGCAUCUCUGAAAAAUUAUGUUUCCGCACUUUGCUACAAGUCCACUUUUUGUGUAUUGAAGUUCUGUGAUUUUGUCUUUACUUAUAAUUUUUCACUAAGUUUAUCUGUUAUGUCUAUUUUCUUGUGUAGGGUUUUACGAAAGAGCUUUACUUGGAGAAAGAUGUACGGAAUGGGUAUGUAAACGAUGUCUCUCUUAAAUUCAAACUGCUCAUUACCAUGCUCAACUUCUGUGCUUUAUAUGAUUGAAUCAGUCGAGCAUUUGUGGUCCCUGUUAAGCUCACAAAUCUUAGAACAAAAGCAUUUUAUCUAGUAGCUGAUUAUGCAAAUAAAAAGCUUUGUAUUUUCCUAGGUUCAUUAAAGACCAUGAUGGCGGUCUCCUUAUGGAAUGCAAAAUUGAUCAAAAGCUUCCAUAUACAGAUUUGUCAUGCAUGAAUACGCCAGCAAAGAAAAUUAAGCCACUGAAUAUAUUUAAACUCUUGAUGAAAUAUUUUCUUGAGCCUUCUAGUUCUACGGUUUAUGAAGCUGUUGUUUCACUUUCUAUAUGUUCACUAUUUACCUCUGACGUUGUGGAUAAUUCUGGUAAGACUAAAGAACAGAAGCAAAACAAACCUGAGGGCUAGAUUCAGUUAUGCUAUCUUAGUCAAUGAAGAUUUUUAUUUUCCCUAUGAGCUCAAGAGUCAAGCUGACACUACACACCACUUUGAAAAACCAUACACAGCGUAAAAACACCACUAAAGUGUAGUUAUUCAUCACUAUCUUAUUAAAUUAUAAAGGGCUUUGGUGAUUUGACCCUAAAGAUCCUCAGAUUCUGAUCCCCGUCAACUUUUGCAAUGACAGGCAAUUGAUAUACGGAUAAAAGAGUUAUCGAAUUGUGAGGAAGUAUAUCACGUACUUGAAUUUCAGAAGGUAAACAUCAAUGGUUGCGUGUCUUUGUGAUUAUUACACAAGUCGCAGCAAAAACACCCCUUUUUAAGUACUAUAAUAAACGUUUAAUGUGCUAAUUUCUGCAGAAAGAAGAUGGAAGUCCUAAAAGGAUCAGAGCUGAGAAUAUACCUGGCUUAAAGUCAUAUUUAUAUUUCAUGCCUAUUAUUGCAGUUUGUUACUCAUAAAUAGAAUUUUCUCCAUUAACUUGUGCUAGUGGCUCCAUCUAGUAUCUGAUCAAGUUAAUAUGCAUGUGCUAAGAUUCCUGCAUUGGUUAGCUAUGAAUUUGGGCUUAAAAUGUUAAACUUAAGUAGGCUUUAAUAUAGUUUAACCAUUUCCUAAAUGUAGGUUUCAAUCUGUAGUUCAUUUUCUCAUGCUGUGUAGUUAUAUUUCAAUAAUUGCUAAUACAUAAGUUAUGGAAUACUAUUACAGGGGACGCAGGUUGGACCCCGGAUCAGUGGGGGCACACUCGUUACAAAUUAUUCAAUGGUUUUGUUGAUAAUGCGACAAAGCAAAAGCAGUUGAAUGCACCUAUACGCGUGCUUUUAAUGAUAAGUUUUCUUCACCUCAGUACUUUGUCAUUACAUCACAUUACAUUAUAGUAUGUUACUGCAAUUACUAUGCCAUUUUGCUUGACAAGCUGGAGUAACUUCAACAGACAAUGCAAGAUCAUGCUGAUGCGUGGCCUUUCAAAGCGCCAGUUGAUGCCCUCGAUGUCGCUGAUUAUUAUGACAUCAUUAAAGAUCCCAUAGAUCUGAAGACAAUUGCAAAGAGAGUAGAAUCAGAAGAGUACUACGUGACGCUUGAUAUGUUUGUGGCUGAUGCGAGACGGAUGUUCAACAACUGUAGAACUUACAACUCUCCGGACACCAUUUACUACAAAUGUGCAACCAGCCAGGUAACAAGGCUUCUUUAUUUUCUUACCUUUCUUUUCUUCUCUUACUCGUUUAAUUAAAAAUGUGAAUUUUUCUUCUUUUUUUGUCUUGAAAGGUUGGAAAUACAAGCAGCUCUCCAGUCUGGUGCUAAAUCUCAAUAGAAGGAUGGUAAAGUGAUGUUACUAUACUCGGUGUAACUGAGAUAUUUUUACUUAUUAGCAUUGUUGAUCGUUUAUGAUGUAUAUUUGCAUACGAAUAUGCUUAAUGUUUAGGAAUAUUGAUAUAAUUUAGAAGACCAAGUCUUACCAAAGUUUCCCAUAUUUUCUCAUUUGGUGCAUCCAUUCACUUUCUCGCUCUAUAUAUGAUGUCACAUUUGUCCUGGUUAGGUAAUCCGUUGAACUAUGCCACUGCCAGGCUGAUGUAAAUGUGUACAACUAUGUUUUUGUGUUGACAAUUUCAAUGUUGGUUGCGUUAGACACCUUACCGCUUCUGACUACCAAGCAGGUCGUUAAAGACUUAAAGUUAACAUCCAUCCAAAUAUUUCCAAACAUAAAUGGGUACAUCAUCAUCACCCUUACAUAUAACACCAUCCUGAAGUCGCACAGUAAAUAAGAAAAGAAGAGCAAGAUAAGAGUUAUUU